rnacentral:rRNA from 1 species
GACGAACGCUGGCGGCGUGCUUAACACAUGCAAGUCGAACGAUGAAGCCAGCUUGCUGGUGGAUUAGUGGCGAACGGGUGAGUAACACGUGGGUGAUCUGCCCCAAACUUUGGGAUAAGCCUGGGAAACUGGGUCUAAUACCGAAUAUGACCACUGGAUGCAUGUCUGGUGGUGGAAAGCUCCGGCGGUUUGGGAUGGGCCCGCGUCCUAUCAGCUUGUUGGUGGGGUAAUGGCCUACCAAGGCGACGACGGGUAGCCGGCCUGAGAGGGCGACCGGCCACACUGGGACUGAGACACGGCCCAGACUCCUACGGGAGGCAGCAGUGGGGAAUAUUGCACAAUGGGCGCAAGCCUGAUGCAGCGACGCCGCGUGAGGGAUGACGGCCUUCGGGUUGUAAACCUCUUUCACCAGGGACGAAGCGAAAGUGACGGUACCUGGAGAAGAAGCACCGGCCAACUACGUGCCAGCAGCCGCGGUAAUACGUAGGGUGCGAGCGUUGUCCGGAAUUACUGGGCGUAAAGAGUUCGUAGGCGGUUUGUCGCGUCGUUCGUGAAAACUUGGGGCUUAACUCCAAGCGUGCGGGCGAUACGGGCAGACUUGAGUACUACAGGGGAGACUGGAAUUCCUGGUGUAGCGGUGAAAUGCGCAGAUAUCAGGAGGAACACCGGUGGCGAAGGCGGGUCUCUGGGUAGUAACUGACGCUGAGGAACGAAAGCGUGGGUAGCGAACAGGAUUAGAUACCCUGGUAGUCCACGCUGUAAACGGUGGGUACUAGGUGUGGGUUCCUUUUCACGGGAUCCGUGCCGUAGCUAACGCAUUAAGUACCCCGCCUGGGGAGUACGGCCGCAAGGCUAAA